AUAAACCCUAGCUCAUUUCUGCAGAAUAUUUCUCUCUCUUCGUUUUUGCACUCCGGAGGCGACUGAGGGACGAUUCCUUUGAAAAGAAGAUCGGGGUUGGUAGUCUGCAAAUCUUUCAAAAAGAAAGACCAAUUUCAACUCGGCAUCAGCUUUCCUAUCGUUUCUCUCUACUCUCUGAAACCCUAGCUCAGUGGCCAGCACAUCGAAGUUAUUUACACUCCAAAUUUGCAACAUAGCCUGAAAAAAUGUUAGAUAUAUCUUGCUUAGUACUGUUAAAUUACUUCAUUCCUACCAUGUGUUAUUUUGUUUUUCUCUAGUAUUGUUCAUAUGUUUGGUUUUGCAUGAGGUCAUUUACACUCCAAAUUUGCAACAUAGCCUAAAAAAAGGUCAUUUACACUCCAAAUUUGCAACUUAGCUUAAAAAAAGGUCAUUUACACUCCAAAUUUGCAACUCAGCCUGAAAAAAGGCUUAGUAGAAUGCAGCUGUUUCGUGGUGGAGUUGAAGGACAUGGCAGUAAGUUGUGGGCAGUGGCACCAGUGUGAUUUAUAGGAAGCAUUCUCCAGUUGCUGUAACUUCAGGAAGCUAGUGAUCUCUAACUUAAUCAAAUGGAGGCCUAUGCAAACAUAAAGAAGUGUGUGUACAUUUUAUGGAAUGAAUUGUAGUGAUCUUCAGUUGUGUGUACAUUUUAUGUAAGUAUAAUGAAGUGUGUGUGUACACACAUACUAAUUUUAAGGAAUGUCUAGCUCCCUAUAUGUGCAAGUAUAUAUGUGAAUGGUGCAAUAACAAUUUAUUAAGUUUGUGAUGUACAAAAAAAACUUGUCGUUUGAUGUCUAGCUUGUGAUGUCUAGCUUCCUUGAUUGCUUGCUUGCUUCUAAUAAUAUUCCUAUUUAUCAA